rfam:Erinaceus europaeus isolate Erinaceus europaeus_13Jul2011 contig220414, whole genome shotgun sequence
GGAUAUAAGGUCAACCUGGUUUUGACAUCUGUCUUCUCAUUAGUCUCCAGGAUUAGUUCUGCUGAGCUGGCUGGCUAAGCAGGUAUCCUCUCCCUCAUUGUUUCAUGUGUAUCUCAGCUGCCCAUACUUGGUCAACAAGGAUGGUUAUUCCUGAAUAGAGACAACUGGUCUUUGGCUGAGGGUAUAUGAAUAACUAUAGUUCCCUGCUAGAACAUUCAAAUAAGCUCUCAAGAACCAAUGGCCAAAAGUGAGGCAGAAUGGGGCAAGUCAACAAAGAGGCAAUUGAUCACCCACCUUCAGACAAAGUUUGUAUACUUUUUAUAAGAUCUUUUGGGU